UGUUUCAAAUUAAGCUUCUACCAAAACUGCUUAUCGGAAUGGGAAAGGCCCGACUCUGAAAAUAGACUAUCCAGCUCUAUUAAUAUUUUCAAGGAAGUUUCACUGUCAAUCGUUUUUAUGAUCCAAAAGGCUUGUCCAUCCUAACACAGCUACGGGUCGAACUCAGUAAGCUAAAUGUUCAUCAAUUCAAACAUAAUUUUAGGGAUACUUUGAACCCUUUAUGCCAAACAAAUCGAAGCACUAUUUUCUGCGCUGCCAUACUUAUGAUGUAAAUAGAAGUGAUCUUCUCAACAGUGUACAAGCAAUAUUGUUGCCUUGUGGUUUGUUAAAAGUCAUCCAAUAUGGCCUUGAACAUCCAGGCCUCCGAAAGAUUCGAAUAAUGCAGAAACAAAAAUCUUUAAAUCUCCAUUCGUUUUUUAACAUUGUUGUUUGUGCUAGGAGGCUCUUGUUAUGUAGUAUAGCAGUUUCCAUUCAGUAAAGUUUCGGUAGUCUCGUUUGUAACUUUUUAUAUCGAAUAAAAAAAUCUUUUCAGCAUACUCUCUAUUGGAAAAGCAAAAACCUCGGUUUGCAUUUUGAUAUUAAAUUUCAAGCCGAACAAUUAUUAGACAAGAGGGGCAAUCAACAGGACCUUGAGCACUUCAUUAGAUGCAGCUAGAGGUAGAGAACUUUAGCAACCUCCCUUCCUGAAAAGCUAGGGACCUCCCUUUCAUGUCAAAGGCCAUCUUUGUUGUUGGGAAGCAGCAGUGGAGACAUUUUCUUACAGAAGCGAGAAAAUUGUACUUCAGAGUGAGUGAAACUUGUGAGAUGUUAGAUGAUUGCCAGAGAUUCAUAUUUUUUCAAGGACCUCUUGAGAAUGUUAGCUGUCGUCCUAAUUUCCACUUGUGUAGUGAGCUCAAGAUGACUCGAAAUGACAUUUGAUUAUGACAUUUGAUUAAACAGGUAUUUUCCUUUAACCCCAGUUUAAAUUAAAUAUGGUAGACAUGAUUUCAAACAUAAUCUGUCUUUUCUAGCUCAAGGAACAUUAAAUUAUUGAGCAUAUUUCAUUAUUUCAUGAUUUCACCACACUAAAAAGACUUGUUUGAAAUUGUAGACACAGACUGAAUCUCAAUCUACCUAGCUGUUGCUGUGUGCCUAAUCUAGAAUUAUGGUCAACCAAUAUUGUGGUAAGAUUUGUUUCUAUCUUUUAAUUUGUUUCUAUUUUUUAAUUUGUUUCUAUUCACUUUUGUAGUGUUUAUGCAUUUCUCUAUAUCUCCUAAGUAAAUAUCUCCUAAUAUGGGUACUUUAGUCCUUACCAUGUUUGUUCUUAGAAGUCAUUUUCUUCAUAUACUGUUAUCAAUGAUUAAGUUUAUAAGAUUUUGUUUUUGAGGUUCCUAAUUUAUAUUCAUAAAUUGCUGCAUUUUCUCUAUAGAUAUAGAUGCAAACAUAAUAUGAUCUUGAUACAAUAGGGGUGGGAUAACCAUCCUUCUAUAUUGUAUUCCCAAUCUAAUUUCAAUUAUGGGUUGCAUUCUUUUAUCAAUGUGAUUUGCACAUACCGGGGCGACUAACAUUGUGCCUGGAUACGAUUACGAUAAGCACCUAUUUGACUUUUCUGAGCUUUUUCACAUAAUGAAUUCACUUGUAAACAGCCUUCACAUUCACAGAUGCUCUAUAGGUAUUUUCCUUUAACCCCAGUUUAACAUUAUUUCAAACAUAAUCUGUCCUUUCUAGCUCAAGGAACAUUAAAUUAUUUAGCAUAUUUCAUUAUUUCAUGAUUUCACCACACUAAAAAGACUUGUUUGAAAUUGUAGACACAGACUGAAUCUCAAUCUACCUAGCUGUUGCUGUGUGCCUAAUCUAGAAUUAUGGUCAACCAAUAUUGUGACACAGACUGAAUCUCAAUCUACCUAGCUGUUGCUGUGUGCCUAAUCUAGAUUUAUGAUCAACCAAUAUUGUGCUUUCCACUUGGCUGUCAGUAAAGAGCUUCUUCUCUUGGAAAAUCUUUUCCAGUUCUUUGGAGUCAGACUUUGUCUUCAGAAGCCACUGCUCCAGGAUAUCUAGCGGAUAGUUUAACAGUUUACACACGGCAAGCACCCGAAUCUUCCAAUACAACAUCACAAACUGUUUACCUUGAGGAUCGUCGAGUUUUUUUAUCACAGCUCCCAAAUUUGAAAAGACCUCCCAAAAACACGUGUUAUGUUUGGAAGGAUUCACAUCUUUUAACUGCGGGGCUAUUCUGGUUAUCUCACCAACAUUGCAAAGCUGGUAGAAUCUCGUUCUACCUAUGUUAAAGCUGUCGGAUACGAAUCUUUCCAGUUUUGCUGUGCUGCAGGCGUCUUUGUCUUGCGAGCAGCGUCUUAGAUUGCAGAGGAUAGCAGCAAUGCUAAUUUGAAAAGAAAAGAAUUGAGGACAAGUUUUAAAUAGAGACUUUACGUGACUAACCAAAUCACACAUCGGACAGUCUGGGAUAUCGCAAGCUGAACCUAUGUUGUCUUUGAUGGUUGGCUGGCUUUCAUUAGGAUUCGUGUACCUACACUGUCUUGUGCACCUGCACAAGACCUUAAUAUUUUGCGAGUCCAAGUAAGAGAUCAGUGCUGUGUUUAUCCUGGUUCUGUCGGUGUUAUAUGUGAAGGCAGGCGAUGAGCAGAUUGCAGAGUUGGGACCAACUUUUGAUAAAAAACUUGCAGCUUUCUCAAAGUGCAACUUCUGCAAUGUCUCCCAAUCAUCCCUGUCAAUGCCAAGCAUUCGGGCAGCUUUGUUCAGCAUUGCAAGUAGCUGCUCUUCCUCAGUCAAGGAAAUCACCUUAGAAGCCUUUGAAUCCUCCGGAAUUGCUGCUUUUGCUGCUGUGGAUGCCGUUGCCCCUGAUGUAGAGGCUUCCCCUGAUGUAGCUGGCAUUGUACCUUCAGCUACAGGCAAUGACGCUGCAGACGAUGGCCGUGCCUUCCCCUUGGAUUCAGCUGAUUCCUUGAAGUGAGUCAUCUUGGAAGUAAGCUUUGAGGUAAGCAGUUUUUCAUUUUGUGAAUUUUCUAAUGGCCGGCCAUCGCCCAUCACUUCUUUGACAAUUCGAUCGGACAUCAACUGCGAGCUUUGCUCGUCAGCCUCAGCUUCACCUUCACUAACAUCUUCUUCGCUUGAAGGCAAGUGGCUUACACGUCUUUUCUGGACAAACUCGCUUAGCUCCCGGAGGGAUUCUUUUCCGAGAGACAUUUUCCAGCCCUGAUGAAGUUGCACUCACCGGUACAUAGCUUCCUGAAGACGUACAUUACUCCUUCCAAGUGCCUGUUUGAUGUUGAUAGAUGACAACCUGCUGUACGCCAGCUCCGUGACUGUAAGGCUUGUUUU